AGUUGGAAGUGGGAUCCUGACACUUGAGCGCUGUCGGUGGUGCCAGAUCUAACUCUUCCAGCUCA
rnacentral:pre_miRNA from 1 species